GAAAUUCGUGUUUUAUCGAAGGAAUUUGGCAACGUUUGAGGGCUCGUACGGCGUUUUUCCUUAGCACGAUAGUGUUGACCUAGGGUCAGACGCGUAAAUCCAUGUGACGAACUUUUACAAGAGGGACAAAAUGACUGAUUUUCAGGCAGGAUGACUAAAAUUUUCAGUAGUGUCAAAAGAAUAUGUCAACAUAAGUUCGAAGGUUAUGAAGUUUGUGAAAGUUCGGUGGAAACAUUUUUAGUGCCCUCUUAGGCUAAUGUAAAAUUUUGGACUCAACUAUACGAAUAUAGGGAACUUUCUAGCUCCUCCCCUUUCCUCUUAUCGUAUUUGUCGGCCAGUCAAAUGUAAAAUAAUAGUGAAGUGUAGAGAGUAAUAAUAAUGGAAAAAUUAGGCACUUAUCGGGCGUAAAGAUUCCAACGCGUCAUAAAGUCAAUAGUUUAAAUUAAGGAGAAUUAUAACACAAAAUAUUACAGGAAAGCAUUUGGCUUUUUUACAGCUCACAGCACAAUUGAAGAUAGCGUUUUCAGUGUCAGCACGAGAGAGUUUCGCAAUACUUAUUUCUCUUGCUUCUAUUAUCUGUAUGUUUUUGAUUGUUUCAGGGUCUUAGAUGCAGCUACAGAGUCGAUCAAAAUCCGGCAUAAAAAAUAAUAAUAAAAAAAAAAAUAAAAAAAUAAAAAAAAUUAGGACAUUGAGAUAGCUGAACUUAUGUGAAUGCAUUUUAUAGGAAUAACGAUCUCCCAAAUUCAAUUUCUGCUGCUCUGAUUACUGCGACGUUGCCUUUUUUGGGGAACUGUACCUGUGUUAUUUCGGCUCUCGUACCCAGAAAACUGAAACAAGCGCCGCAGCCUCCCUCUACAACGGAUUAUGGCACUAAAUUCCGCGCAUAUGGCGGUUAAAAUCAGACAUGAAUACGAAUAGUUUGCUUGUAGUGGGCGCUUCUGGUUCAUUUCGUGCGCCACUUAACUUUAAUCCCCACCAAUUAGGAUCCCCUUGAAUCCUUCAUUUGCAUUCAUGGCUCGCAGGUAGAAUACAUAUCUAUAUAUAAUAUCUAUGUAUAAUAAGCCGCGGAGUCACUCUUGAUAUUAUUACAGAUAUCCACGGCAAUACCGGUUUUCCGUAGAUGAAUGAUGACCCACCAUGGCUGGUGGCUCAAUCCUGUUUUAGACCAGAAACGGAGUAUGAAACAACAAUAUUCACAAUGCCCAACCAGUUAGCGGUGUUAUUAUUAUAGUCAGGCAUAUUUAAGAAGAAACACGAGGCAAGGAUGUUAUUGACCCUCGUAACUUUUGGCUCACGACAGCAAGACUUUCAUUUUGUAAAUUCAGACUUGUCGUAAUACAGGUUACCAUACAUAUAUGAAUAGAAGAAAGGAAAA